UACGUAGGUGGCAAGCGUUGACCGGAAUUAUUGGGCGUAAAGCGCGCGCAGGCGGUUCUUUAAGUCUGAUGUGAAAGCCCCCGGCUCAACCGUGGAGGGGCAUUGGUAACUGGGGGACUUGAGUACAGAAGAGAAGAGUGGAAUUCCACGUGUAGCGGUGAAAUGCGUAGAGAUGUGGAGGAACACCAGUGGCGAAGGCGACUCUUUGGUCUGUAACUGACGCUGAGGCGCGAAAGCGUGGGGAGCAAACAGG
rnacentral:rRNA from 1 species